ACUGUAGUGCAAUGGGUAGCGUGUUGGACUUCUAAUUCAAAGGCCAUGGGUUCGAAUCCCACCUAAAAUG
rnacentral:tRNA from 1 species